AUGGAGCAGCUCUCCACCUCCUCGCCGGCGGCGCCGCCCCCGCCCCCGUGGCGGCCGCCGACGAAGAUCAGGCUGCGGCGCCAGAGGCUGGAGGCGCUCCUGCAGGAGCUCCGGCAGACGCUCGACGGGCUGGGCGACGCCGAUCUCGGCGCCUCUCUCUCCGACGCGGACGCCUACACCGAGGCGCCCGAGUACGGGGACAGCGAGGGCGGCGGAGACGACGACGACGGUGACUCGGCGGCUUCGAUGGCGAGCGACUCCGACCGCGCCACGGACCAGGUGUUUGAUCUCCUUAAAUCUAGGUUUGAGUCACCAGAAUUUCUUCAGGAGUUCCAUGAAAUUCAAAAGUCUGUAUGUCAAAACGGUGCAGUUGAAUUGGAUACAUCAUGGGAUGUGAUAAAGGCGGGAGAUUUGUGGGAAGAUGAUGACGACAAUGGAUAUGUUCUUGUUAAGCCAGAGGAUGCAGCUGAAGGGAUAGCUUUCUUUGUAGCCACAUACUUAUCGACACUUACAAAAACCAAGGAAUUAUCUCCUGAUCGACUUCAGAAAGCCCUUAAGAAGACAUUUUCAGCCGAGAAGAGAAAAGGCAAACUUCGGAAGGCAUGGGAUGGGACAAAAGUCAUUUAUAAUGUAGCUUCAUGGGGUGCCACAGCUGUUGGCAUCUACAAUAACCAAGCAAUUCUUAAGGCAGCAGGCACAGCCAUUCAGAUGUCCUGGCGUGUGGUGUCCAAGUUCCUGUGA
rnacentral:rRNA from 1 species